rnacentral:lncRNA from 1 species
UUUGUGACCUGAAAUGACUCCUCAUUUACAUCUGUUUCUCCCAGAUCCUUUUUGGGGUAGGGGGGUUCCCUCUCUCUGUGCUCAAUUCCACUUGGCAGUCAGCGCGGUUGAGACUAACCUCAGGGACGCAGUCGUACCUUGGAGCUCUGGACAGGAAGAGAAAGCGGGUCAGAGUUCUGGUCAGCCCGCUGCUGUGCGCUGCUGUGUGAGCUGCUGUGUGAGCGCUGCUGUGUGAGCGGAACGAGCAUUUGAGCCUCCCUGUGGCCUCCUCCUCUUCUGUGAAGUGAAACUAACAAGGAUGCUCUGGCUGCCUCUCGGGGCUGUUGGGAGGAUCCAGGAGUAGUGAUAUAAAAGUCUUGAGAAGAGCGCUGUUUUGUGUUCAUCAGUGAGCCCCAUCUCUCCCUCUCCCCAGGCAAGGACUGCCUCCUUGAGGGCAGGCCCUUGGGGCUUCCUGGGUCUUCCUGCAGAAGCUUUCCUGCCUCCUGCACACCCCAGAGCAUCUCUGCAUCCUCUGCCAGCCUAACCGGCCUCCCUGUGGCUCUGUAUUAACCUCCCGCCCUCCACGUUGCCCACAGGGACACAGUCUUUUUUGUUCAGGGGACACUUUUGCCCUCAAGCCAGCUGGACUUUCCUCUGUAGGGAUGCAGAGACUCUGCACAACAGACACUGCCCCUCCAGGGGUGCCUGAUGUCCAUGGUUUUCUAUAGUACUUGUAACCUAGAUACAGAAUCUUCUAGCCUGACAGAGUCAGAGACCAAUGCCUUAAUGUGAACCCACCACACAGCUGGCGAGAGCACAGACCCACAGUCCCUCCUCAGGUGCCUCUUAGGAGGACUGCGUAUGAAAGCCCGCAGAAAUGGUCAAGUCCCGGAGAGGAAAUGGCCACCAAAAUAUAAAUCAUGGCCAUUUUUAUUGAGCACCAGGCAGGCAACCAGGCCAUGGGUUAUGAUAACUUUUGUGAUUUCCUUUGAUCUGAUUCCGGGAUCCCUGGGUCCCCAGCUUGCUGUGUGUCCUUGGGCGAAACAGAGGCAGCUUCUGAUCCUCUUGUUUCCCAGAGAAUGAUAAUGAUUUGGCAUGUAGAGUCGAUUCAACUUUUGACACGUUCCCUCUGUUCCCCUAGUAGUUCAUGUAGUUCAGAGGGUGUCACUCCGAGGCGUGGGGAAUAGAGGCCCCCAGGGAGCGCUAGUUACAGGGUCCCAGAGGGAAAAGGGGACCCUGGCCAGCCUCUCCCUGGUGCCUGAUGACUGUAGACACCCACUCAGGGCUGCCCUCCUCCUUUUGGUCUCCUUCAGGGAGCAGCAGCUGUGUCCUUCCCCUGCUCGGGCCGCUCAGUGACUCCCAGCUUCCUUCCUGCUGGAAUCUAAGCUCCCCAGCCCACCUCCCCGCAGUCUGGGCUGUGUCUCCCUCGGUGAAACCUCUCCAGUAGACCUUCUCUCCGUGACAGCCGUACAUCCUUGGCUGGCUUUCCCUCUGCACCUUUUCUUGUGUCAUCACCUUCUCCGGGAUGCUUUUCUGUCUCCCCCAGUCUCCCCUAUGCUUCGAGACCUUCCCAGCUGGUUCUAGAUUGCGUUAGCAGGGAGGGGAGGGCAUCCGGGUCUUUUGAGGCCCAGUUCUGAAAUAUUCCUAUUGGCCUGAAACUGACAGACAUUCAUUCUGGGAAGAUUGCAAAGAGGGUUCAAUAAUAUAGUCAGGCAUCUGUGCAGAUGUUCCUUUUCAGUUCCUAGUGUAUGCCAGGCACUGUGUGGAGCUCUUCAUUAGCUUAUACAGACAUUAACCAUCAUUCUCUCCUGUAAGGUAGGUAUUGUUAUCCUCAUUGACGAGACCGGGAAAAUGAACCUUAGGAUAAUUAACUUGUCUGCAGUUCCGUGAUUACUAAGAUCUCGGCUCCUGAGAAUGUGCCCCGUUUACGCAGCAAACACUCCCUGGUGCCUCCAGACAAAAACUCACUGAUCUGAGGGGGAGGAAAGGCCUUGUCUGGAUCCCAGGGAGACUCAGAACAGAGGCAAGGAGAAGUGUGUUCUCUUAUAUCCACCACCCGUGGUCUAACAGCUGGUUUCCCAAUUGCAAACGGCUGCCCCCCCACCGCAGAGGCCAGAGCCCCAGCCCCUUCCUAGCAAGAAUAAACCAAGGCCUCCCCACACGGGCCAUAGGGCUCCGCCGCGUAAAACCAUCGGGGAACCUAAGCAGCGUUUCCCCUGCCGACCACCCCCUGAGGAGCACUGCCUAAUAGGCUCUUUACGGGUUGGAAAAUAGAGUCCUGUUGAUGCAAGAGGAAGAAGGACAUCACCACGUCACCACAGGUUGAAAUCCUCCCCCUGGAAGGCCUUGGUAAGCCCCCAAAUAGCUCAGCAAUUUUUUUUUUUUUUCUACUCUGAUUAGCUUGAUGGAAAAGCCCCUAGCUUUUUCUUCCCAUUGGUCGGCUUAUGGGGGUAGUGAUCCUGCCUCCCCCCAGCAAGCCUGCUGGCCUAUCGAUUGUUAGAUGUACGGCUCUCAAACUCUCCAACAGGCCACGGCUGCUGAGAGCACAGGCCAUUAGCCCCAGCCAACUGAAAGGGUUCACCGCCAGGAGACUGAUUCUGAAAUUGGGUCUUUAUGAUCAAUAUAUCUUUCUCCAUUAGGCUCAUUUCCUCCCAAGGAAAUGCGUAGGGCCAUUAGGGUGUAUGUGCAUUGACAGGCCUCUCCACUGUCCUCCUUCAUAGCGAGGAAGACAGAGCCGGCACAGACUUGAGAGAUGCGCUUGUUAGACAGAACUGCCCAGACUCCUUUCUNUUUUUUUUUUUUUUUUUUUUUUUUUUUUUUUUUUUUUUUUUGUCUUUGUAGGGCCGCAUCAACGGCACAUGGAGGUUCCCAGGCUAGGGGUCGAAUCGGAGCUGUAGCUGCCCUCUACGCCAGAGCCACAGCAAUGCGGGAUCCGAGCCGCGUCUGCAACCUACACCACAGCUCACGGCAACACCAGAUCGUUAACCCACUGAGCAAGGGCAGGGAUCGAACCCGCAACCUCAUGGUUCCUAGUUGGAUUCGCUAACCACUGCGCCACCACGGGAACUCCUUUAUUUCAUUCUUAAAGAACUGCAGUUACUUACUAAUAGGACGUGUGUGUCUGUUGAGCACUGCACAACUGCUCAAACCUUAGGAUCAGAUUGGAGACUGCUGCUCUCAUUUCUUUUUCUCCAUUGGUCUUCCUUGGGUACUUGCAUUUUAUUAUAGCAGUUGCCCAAACCCCAGCCUCAGAAAGAUAAGAUAUCAAGGGGAAUACAGGACAAUCUUAUAUUGAAACUGUGAUUACCUCGAGCUAGUAGCUUAUGUCCAACAGGUGGUGAGGAUGGCUGUGUAUCCUUCGAGAAUUAAAAAUUUCUGUGUGGUACCUCUGAGUUGGCUGUGGGGUUCCCACCUAGAAGAGCUUUGUGGACAUUGUGAGAACCUCAGCCCCAGAAUCUGCCCCCUCCUGUGUCAGUACCCCUCUUUCAAGCUGCCCCAGCACUCUGCACAUCUCUUAUUGAGGCAUUUGUAAGAAGCUGCUUGCAUGUCUGAGGCUGUGAAAUCUCCAAGGGCAUGGACCAUCCCUCCCUCUGAUUUGCUUGCCAGGUGAUAGCACAGUGCCUGGCACACAGUUGGUGCUCGACUGAGAGGUCCUGAACUCCUGGGAGGGUCCGAGACCACAGCGGAACCCCAGAGACCCAGGGCAGCUGCA